GAUUGGAAGGGGUGUAUUUAUUAGAUAAAAAACCAAUGCCCUUCGGGGCUCCUUGGUGAAUCAUAAUAACUUAGCGAAUCGCAUGGCCUUGCGCCGGCGAUGGUUCAUUCAAAUUUCUGCCCUAUCAACUUUCGAUGGUAGGAUAGUGGCCUACCAUGGUGGCAACGGGUAACGGGGAAUUAGGGUUCGAUUCCGGAGAGGGAGCCUGAGAAACGGCUACCACAUCCAAGGAAGGCAGCAGGCGCGCAAAUUACCCAAUCCCGAUACGGGGAGGUAGUGACAAUAAAUACUGAUACGGGGCUCUUUUGGGUCUCGUAAUUGGAGUGAGUACAAUCUAAAUCCCUUAACGAGGAACAAUUGGAGGGCAAGUCUGGUGCCAGCAAAUCGUCGA
rnacentral:rRNA from 2 species